rnacentral:rRNA from 1 species
CACGGGUGAGUAACACGUAUCCAACCUGCCGUCUACUCUUGGACAGCCUUCUGAAAGGAAGAUUAAUACAAGAUGGCAUCAUGAGUCCGCAUGUUCACAUGAUUAAAGGUAUUCCGGUAGACGAUGGGGAUGCGUUCCAUUAGAUAGUAGGCGGGGUAACGGCCCACCUAGUCUUCGAUGGAUAGGGGUUCUGAGAGGAAGGUCCCCCACAUUGGGACUGAGACACGGUCCAA